rnacentral:lncRNA from 1 species
GAGCGUGACUCAGUGAAAAGGACGGAUAUGCAAGUGCCAGGCAGUAAGAAAAGGAAAAGUGGGGGAGGCUUUGUUGCUCUCACCGCCCCAGCGUUCAGCGCUGAGUUGAGGGCUGGCCCCUCCGCCUUUCUCUGCAAAGCCCCGCGGUGCAGGAGCUCCGGCUGUGGAUGUCUCAACAGAAAGGGGCUCCCGGAAGCUGGAGCACAGGCGGGGACACAAAGGCAACCCUGGAGAUCAAAAGGCAUCACCCCCAGUAAACCUCUUGUCCUCUAACUCCAUCUUACCAUCUACUUCAUGGAGGACCUAACUGACACACCAGCCAAAGCCAGAUGGGGUCUCCAGAGGCAAGAGAAGAAAGGAGGUCCCUGCAGCAGACCAAGAAGCUGAACCCAAAGUCCAGCCAGUGAUCUCUUACACGACCAUAAAGCAAGCUUUCUUUGGAGAUAACAGGAAGUGAAUGUGAUUGGGUCAAAAUUUGCCAUUUAGAGACUGGAACACCAUCCAGAAUAACGUGAGUCUCUUUUGAUGUUAUGAGAGGACAGCUUACAAGUUUUGGGGGAUCUGAGGAGUGGAUUUCUCUGUAGACUCUCAAAAAGCAUCACAAGGUCCAGGAAUUGGUGUGAGAGAGAAGACAUCAAGAUCAAAGUAAAUCUGCUCCACUCCAUCUGAACCAAGCUCAGGCUGAGAUCUUCUGCUAUGGGCCUCAAGGCUAUCCCUCUUAGUGUUUGGCCACUGUGGGUUCCACAUGUCCCCAUCAGUGGCCUGUCAACUCCUGGAGUGCUGUGAUGGAGUGUGACACAAGUCCAUAGCAUUCUCAGAAUAUUCCACCACCAAUCACCC